GGAUGACGUCAAGUCAUCAUGGCCCUUACGUCCAGGGCUACACACGUGCUACAAUGGGGUAUACAAAGAGCAGCAAUACGGUGACGUGGAGCAAAUCUCAAAAAUGCCUCCCAGUUCGGAUUGUAGUCUGCAACUCGACUACAUGAAGUUGGAAUCGCUAGUAAUCGUAGAUCAGCUAUGCUACGGUGAAUACGUUCCCGGGUCUUGUACUCACCGCCCGUCACACCAUGGGAGUUGAACUCAUUCGAAGCGGGGAUGCUAAAGUAGCUACCUUCCACAGUGGAUUCAGCGACUGGGGUGAAGUCGUAACAAGGUAACCGUA
rnacentral:rRNA from 1 species